rnacentral:lncRNA from 1 species
GAAUUUGUGAUCCCUUCAAAUUGUACACAUUUUUUCUUUUUGAGGAAUUUAAUCAAACAGUAUUCUAAUGCAUUAUGAUAGCACUACACGCUUUUGUUGUAACAAAUUACAAGGAGGAAUUUGGAUUGAGUUUCUUGUAUAAGCACACCUUACACAAAUUUCGUAUAUUUUCUUCCAGCAAGUCUGUUUAUUAACCCCCUUAUCUGAAAUUAAUUGUUAAAAGUUUUGAUUCAUCUUUAAUCAGUGUCUUACCCUUGUUGAAUAACACUCCUCUUUCUAAUUUAUAUUUGAAGUUUGAGCUUUCAAUUUCAAUUGUGGGCUUUGAUUUUUCAGAUUUUGUUUGUCAAUUUCAGUUUGGACAAAGCAUAUAUGCAAACAAAGUAAGCAUUUUAUGUUAUACUUUUGAACUAGGUGUUGAUUUGAUUUAAUCAUAAGUUUUGCUGGUGCAUUUACUAGGCUAAUCAUUCAAUACUUUUGAUCAUAGAACUUCUUUGGUUGAUAUUAUCUUUGUUAAGUUUAACCAUAACUUUAGAGAGGGGACUUCAACAGAUUUAUAAUCUCAUCAUUAUAGUAUUAAAAAUUAGAGAUUAUUUAAGGCAUUGUCUAUUAUCUGAAUUCUGCUUACUUUUAGUUCAUAUGUUUACAUCUUAGCAUAUUCAUGUGAUUAGUGCGGCUCAUACCACAAAGGCAAUUUUAGGCUCAUCAAGUGCUAAGCAAUGUCAAGCUUCCAAAUGACAAGUUCUCUACAUAGUUUGAGACCUACACUUACUAGAUAUUAGAUCAUUUCGAUCAUUUCCAUAUGUUUAUAUGUAAUUGACAUGUUAUAACAUUUUUGUAGCGUUAUAUAAUUAUUUAGCAAUUUAAUUAUUUCUUUGCAACUUAAUUUUUUUUGUCAAUCAUACUAUUGUUGACUGCUAAAAACCAUCAAGAAAUAGUUCUCAAGUUAUAAAAAAAAAAAAAUUUUAAAAAAGAUUUGUUGAUGCUUAAAAAGCAUCAAGAACAGAUAGUUUCUUGACGGUUUUGUGACAUUUCAUAACUGUAGGGGGCUUUUUCUUCCGACAGCUGUAAAUGGGCUGGGCUGCCGUAAAGGGCAGACUGAUGAAAUUGUCCCCUUUUGUAUGAGCUCAAAAAUUAAGCCCCAAAAUACUUUGAAAGGGCAGCAGAGCCUUAGGAAGUAUUUUGGUUACCCUCACCAACUAAAACAACAACAACUUACAGGUAAUUACUUAAUGCUUAUGGAUGAACUCUUGAGCUUGGCAUGAGAGACAUAUGGCAUGGAAGCAAAAUCAACAUGAGUUUAGCACUGAGGGGAAAUUUAGGCUCUCUUGGGGGAAAAAGGGAAGUGUUAAGGUGAGAGAGGAGAAGUUUGUAGGAGAUUUAGCUAAGAAAGGAGAAAUAUAGAACAAUGCUCUUUUGGCAGCUUGACAGAUGCUCUGUUUGCCAGAAAAGGAAGAUGGAGAAGAAAUGUGAAUAGUGCAAGAGUUUGCUAGAUUUUUGCAGGUAAGAGAGGAAGCUUGCUCUCUGGGUCUGAGUUGAGUUUUUUUGUGUGGAAGAGACCUCAUUUUAUAGCCCUUGGAAACCAUCACUUCCCAAGAAACCCUAAUGGCUUCUACCCAUUUUGGCCAAGCUUUUCCCUUCCUUUCUCAUUUCCUUCCUUGACUUUACCCCUCUUGAUGAAAUCCCCUCUGCCUAUUUGCACCAUAUCAGAGUUUUUUGAAGCUCAAGGCCCCUUUUUCCCGCAGUUGUCUCAAUGGGAGACUUCCAUUCCCAGUCAUCUCCUUUAUUGCUUUCCUUUCUUUUUUUCAUGGCCAAGUUUGGUGGGGAAAGGAGUUGGGAUAUAUAUGCUGGUUUGAAGGGUGCUUCUCUUCCUGGCAUCUUACACACUAAUACCCCUUGGUUCCUUGAAUGUUUUGGCUUUGAAACUUGCUCUCCCCCCCCCCCCCCCCCCCCCCAUGUACUGGAACCUACCAGCAGCUCUAUUCAAUGAAUCUUCAGACCUUCUCUUCGUGGCUUUUAUUUUUUAUCAACGGGCUGGGGCUUUUGUGGCUCAUUGUGGCAAUUGUAUGGGCUAAGGUGGUUCAUUAAGUAAGUGGGCUAUUUUUAUUAAACAUUAGGCUUUUUGGUUGAGUCACUAGGCUAUUUUGAUUGGGCUAUUGGGCUAUUUUUUUCCUCUCUUGUGCUCACCCACAUGUUUGGACCAAAGAAAUGAGCUUGAGUCCUGAGGCUCCCAAGCGACCCGAGACUUUCCAUUUCUGGCCCAUCAAUGGGCCUCAUGUUGAUUUAUUACCAUCCAUACCACAACCCACUCAAGCAGGCUCCGGGCAUUUGAAUGACUUGGGCGCACUUAGGCUUGUAGUGUGGUUGGGUGCGAAAUAACGAUUUCGUGCUUGGCAUGUUUUAAUUUUAUCAUCCUUGGGAAAGGCUGCGAUGUUUGAUUUCGGCAUGGGCUUGUAGAGCUGGUAUGCUUUAUUUCAACUCCUAGCAUGACGAAUUAUUUAUUUAGCAUGGCACGUGAAUUACAACUCGCAUGUGGUGGGUUUUUGUGUACUACACCUUACGCCUCUUCUUAAUAGAACAUCGUUUUGGGCUGAUAAUUUAUUCGGGCCAAACCGUGAAUUUUUUGGGUCUCAAUAAUAACCAUCAUGAAACAUUACAUUUUGACUGACGUCAAGAAAUGGGGUAUCCCUUUCCUGAUAGUGGCAUCCAUGAUGCCUUCCAAGCAGUCAAUUAAGGGCUAUCGUGAUGCAUUUUAGUUGUCAGCAAAAGGUGUUUUUCUUGUACUGUAUUCACUCAAAGUCGUGUUUCAUUUAAGAUUAGUAGUAUGGUUGAAUACCAUUUGUUUUGUUAAAGAAUAUUAUACAUUAGGGAUUUUUGUAGAAAUGUCAUUUGAACUUAUACCUUAGUUUCAAUUUGUCACCUUGAAGAAAAAUUUAAGAGAAAUGUCACCUUAAUUUUUAAAAAUCCAUGAUUUGUCAUAUGACUUUAAAAUCAUCCAAUUUUCCAUCCAUUUUAAGGGUAUUUUAGUCUUUUCAUUUUGAAGGAAAAAAAAGAGAUGAAAAAAGAGACCUCUCUCUUACUUUGUCCCUCAACCCAACCCCACCCGCCCCCCAAAACACAUCACAUAGGAUUGCCUCCCCCUUCCCCACUUUUCUUUUUUCUUUUUGUCCUACUUUUCCACUAUGUUUAUGUUGAAGGAUCUAAAGUUUGCUUGGUCACCAUCUGUUACGUAGGCUUCCCAAUUGUUAGUUUGGGUGGGUUGUGGGAAUUUGUGUGCUCGAAACCCGAGACGAAUCUUGUGGAAUUCCCGACAUCACACCGAUGCCGGGCCCACUUCUGAACUAAAUUCUCUUUUCCAAAAUUAAGGAAAAAGAGUACGAGGCUUUCUGCCGAAAUUUCGACAGAGUAUUCCCUAUAAAUUUAACAUUUCAGCUUUGGUGGCCGUUCUCUCAUUUCAGCUUUGGUGGCCGGAUGAGAGAACGGUCGGCUAAAACGUGGCCAGCUGGCACUGCCGUCGCGAGAGAGAGAGAGAGAGAGAGAGAGAGAGAUUUUUAUCAAAUCAUUUUUGCCAAAAUUACGAUUAUGCAACUGAGGGUAUUUUGAUCGUAUCUUUUUCAUUAUAACUCUGAUUCAAGCCCACUACGUGUUUACGGACUCAUCUCGCCGUGCUCUAUGCAAUUGUAUAGUUGAAAUUCCCAAAUUCCACCCCAGUCAAAAAUUCAACUUUAAACCCUACAAAAUAUUAUAGGGGCAAAAUGGUCUUUUAUCUAAUUAAAUUAAUAAUUGAAAAUUUAUUUAGGACCGGGUUGUUACACUGUCGUUGAUGGACUGUGCGAUGACACUCACACAAAGUCCUUGAGAAUAAAACACACACACACCAUGAAGAGAGUAAAACAAAUACACAAGUACACAAAGAUUUAUAAAGGUUUGGCCUUCUGCCUACGUCCUCUUGGUGAUCCACCCGAGAAAUUCACUAGUACGUAAGAACAACUUUGGUUACAACUAAACCCCCUUAGCUUUCAUAAGAACCCUAGAUCUCUUUUCUCCCACCCUUGCUCCAACCCUUUGAUGCCCUUGUAAACACUCAAGAAUUCACCCUUGAAUUCUGUCAUGUGUUACAUCUUCUCUUCUCCCCUUUGUUAACCUAACCCUAAAAGUUAUAUUUAUAAUUCAUAGGACUUUAAGUACAAGUUAACUAGGAAUAGGAAACAUAAUAGACCUCAAAAAUUGGAGAAAAUAUGUUUAGAUCUCGUUAGGAAAUUGCACAACACGUGCGAUCCGCUCGAGCGCCUGCAAAAUGAUCCCUUUGUCGCUCAAGCUGCCGAUAGCUCAUGGGAUGGGGGAAUUAGAGAUUUUUUUUUUUUUCAAUUUUAAUUGUUUAAAAGAUAUACAAUUUUUUAAUAAUAAUUUUUCCAUUUUUAAAAUACCCUUGAAAAUAGAAAGAUUAAAAUGCCCUUAAAAAUGGAUGGAAAAUUGGAUUGCGUUAAGGUCAGUUGACAAAUCAUGGAUUUUGAAAAAUUAAGGUAACAUUUCUCUUAAAUUUUUCUUUAAAGUGACAAAUUAAAAUUGAGGUAUAAGUUCAAGUUACAUUUAUGCAAAAAUCCUUAUACAUUAUGAUAUUCUAACAAUAAAAUUGGCUAAAAUUGAUAUGUUCCCUCUUUAUUUUCUUUUUCUCUUUUCCUUUUCAUUUUAUGAUCCAAUCCUUUUCAUAUAUUUUUGUUCAAGACUUUGUUUUAGAAUGCUCUAUUACUAAUUUGGUACAGGUCCCUAAAAUCUCGGAGCCGCCUUAGUACAUUCAUAAUGUACAUGUUCAGAGUUCAAGAAUAAUGUAUAGAAUGUGAAAUUGACGAUGCCGGCCUUUAUGAGGCAACGUCUUUAUUUCUUUGGUUAUUACAGUUUAGAAUAUUUGCACAAAUGAGAUGAUUCCAAGCAUAAAGUCACAUUCGACCAAAAAGCAUGAAGUCACACACAAAAAGAACACGGACAAUUGCUAAGUUUAUCCUUGUACCCUUAUUUUAUUGAUCCGACCCAAUUGAAAAUUAAAAAAAGAUGAUAAAAAAUAUUGUUCACUACUUUAAAAUCUAUGAGUAGAGUCCUCCAUUUGAAAUUUCGUCAUUAUACAAAAUUGGAAUGAAAAAAGAAAAUCCUACAGCUAAAUUUGAUAUAUUUCCUUUUCAUUUUAUGCUGGGUGUUAGGGCUUGUCAAUGGGCCGGGCUAGGCUAGCCCGGCUCAAAUUUAAUGGGCUUGGGCUAGGCCGGGCCAAGCUUUAAAGAGGAGAGAGAAAAUAUCCGGCCGAGUUUUUUAAGAAAAUUCAAAGCCCAAGCCCGAAUCACUGCUGUCUAGCCCGGCCCAAAUUUAAUGAGCUUGGGCCAGGCCGAGCCAAGCUUUAAAGAGGAGAGAGAAAAUAUCCGGCCGAGUUUUUUAAGAAAAUUCAAAGCCCAAGCCCGAAUCACUGCUGUCAUUUCAUUGAUUUGUGACGAGCACAACCACCAAAUCAGAAUUUACUCACGAAAAUAUCAAGUAUGUCUAGCAAAUUUCAAUUUUGAAUAAUACACAAUUUCAAAAGGAGGACAUGUUGCAAGACAGCAUACCUUCUCUUGGGGUGCUUUUCAUUUUGCAACAUUUCUUUACGUGUAAUUUCCAGAGGAGGGUUUAUCAUUGUAUAUAGCUUUUCGGGUGGUUUGUCUACAAAACAAAUGUCACAAAGAAGGAGGAGAAACGGAAAAGAUUUACUUGGAAUGUCUCAAGUCUCCUUUGAGAUAAAGGCAUCGAAUGCACAACAUUGCUUUUGUGCUAUUUCAUAAUUAAAGUGUGCUUCCCAAGUCUCCUUUGUGUUUUGUAACUUGUAAUGUUUGUUUUUUUGUUUCCCCUGUUUUCCCUCUUAUAAAAGAAAUACAGGUCCAAACCACACGGAUCUACUUGCAUAAUAAUGGACCAAAUUUAUGAUUUUUAGAAAGAACCUUCUGCCGGUGGAAUCUUGGGCUACUGUUGUGGCUCUCCUCUGUGUGCCUCCUUUUUAGAACGGUAAAAUAUUCAAAAUACUAGAAAAUGUUCGUGAUUAAUAUAAAUAUUAAGAAUUGAAAUUAUUAAUUAAAUGAGGAUAAUAUGGUAAAUUCACACUUUUUUAUAUUAAAAAAAUUAAAAUUAAAAGAAAAAUCAGAUAAUUGAUAUUAUUUUUAUGGAACACAGCUACUCAUUAUCUUUUUUAAUUCUAAAAUAAAUUUAAAUUAAAGAAAAAAACCCCUCUCACAGGCACGGAAGCGCGUGCUCAGAGGCUAGUUAAAAAUAAUGAACUUUGCUUCUGAAGACGUCUAUACCAGACCCACUCAACCUGCUUUAUGAUUAUACAAAGAACAAACUCGUCCUUAGACUCAUUUGGUUAAACUUAGAAAAUAAUGAAACAAAAAUAUGCACUCCCACAAGUAACACAGCCAGGAUUGAAAACAACUGGACAAAGAAAGGCAUGUUAAAACAGAAUUUUCAACAACUCAUCACCAUUAGACAAGAAAAAGAAAAAUCAAUACAAAAACAGAAAGAACAGAGAAUAAAUGUGGUGGAAGAAAAACGUUGAAGCCAUUUGUGAAUCCAACAACACUACCACUCUGUUUCUCUCCUUUUGUUCAGGCGGAUCUGCAUAUAUCCUAAGGCGUAUUACGGAAACAACUUCUUGCCGUUAUACUUGAAUGUUGUGGAUGCUUCAACGUUGCCAUCUGGGUGGAGUGGAUUUGUCCAAUUCACCUUCACUAUGGUAUAUACGUCCAAAUUGUUGUUAUUUGAAAGGCUUCUAAAUUUUAACAUUUUGAUUUUUAAAUUUUGUUUAAAUAUUUCGGCCCACUUAGUUCUUCUCAAAAUAUGUCAUCAAUAUCGUUGAAAGGUUGAACUUAGUGAAUUAUUAUAGUGCAGUACUGUAGAAUAGACACAUGAUAUAAUUUGUCCACAUGUUAUAAUAUAAGUAAAUAUUUAUUGAUAUUAUUUCUAAAAAUAAGAAAUAUCAACCAUUAUAUCCUCCCAUAUUAUAAUACAUAUACAAAUUAUACCACAUUAUCAUACUCUAAUACCAUUUUAUAAUUUCUCGUACUUAGAGCGAGUCAAUGACAUUACAUAAUAUAUAAUUGUUCAUAUAAUGGGGCAACUAACGUGAUCAACAAGUUGUGGUGAUUAAUUUAACAUAAUAAAAAAUAUACCAUUUACUUGAGUGAUGUAACAAUUUGUUCUUUUAAAUUGGAUUGCCAUCACUUUAAUAUGAUAUGUUUCUUAUUAUAGUGUCCCAUGUUAAGUGCUUCAGCAUUGUUUGUGGUGUGUACACAAAUUUUCUUAUAAAAUGUUUUAAUGCUUCUCACAUGUAUAUCAGAUAUAGACAGUUGAUGUGACUUAGAAAUCAAAUUGUCAAUAAAGCAAAAAAAUAUAAUUGGUGAUUGAGGUCCAAUUUAAUAGAAAAUAGUCUUAACUUGUAUAUUAGAGGUUUCAGAUUCGAAUCCUCACUGCAUUAUUGUUGUAUACGUACACGAGAAAUCCUCUUCUCCAAUAAUUUAGACUAUCACUUAUACUAAAAAAAUAUAUAUAUAUAAUGACUUUUACGGAUGCAAACAUAAAAUUACACCAAACAAUAAUGGAAUAGAAAGAUGCAAGUUAUUUUUUUUUUUUUUACAUCUAAAGUAUACUUUAUAUAUAUAUUUAUUAUGGGUGUUAUAACCGUUUAAUUUUCAGUUUUUAUUUUCUAUUUAUUGUUUUAAUUUUUAUGGUUUAAUGUGUAUGAAGAUUACAAGUAUUGGAUGUCUACCACUCCUCCUUCACAUCUGAAACAAACCACCAUCUCAUUUCUGUAUUUUCAUACUUUCAUAUAUUUUCUACUUUCCAGAUUAUUAUUUUUGGGCAACGGUUCUGUGACUUGCAGAUUUCUAUCCGAUUGUUAACAUGCUCAUAGCGGACCUUGAGCUUGCGUAUUGGGGAUCGUAUCUUGGAGCCUUAUAGACCUUUAUUACCUGCAUGUAGGGAGGUUAUAAAUGCUUUAGGUCAGCAUCUUUGACGUGCUUUUGCUUUCUUUUUUUUUUUACUUAUUUCUUCGUUUCUUUAUUUUUACUUUACUUUUAAAUUUUUAUUUUAUGUAUUAUUUAUAUUUAAAAGUUUUGAAUAAGAGUUUUACAGAAAAGGAAAAACACAAUUUCAAAUAACACAAAUUUCUCGUUUUUGGUUCUUAAAAUAAAUGAAUUUUUUACUUAUUUGUGAACUGAAAUGCCUCUAAAAAAAUAAUGAUAGUUUGAAGAAUUUGAUAGAAAUUAAAAAAUAUCCUCAAAUUACUUGGAAUUGAAGACCACAUAGGCAAAAACACCAUUUUGGACAAAGGCUGGUGAUAAUAGUCGAUAUCAUCUUUAAGUACUUUAAUAUGAUAUGUUUCUUAUUAUAGUGUCCCAUGUUAAGUGUUUCAGCAUUGUUUGUGGUGUGUACACAAAUUUUCUUAUAAAAUGUUUUAAUGCUUCUCACAUGUAUAUCAGAUAUAGACAGUUGAUGUGACUUAGAAAUCAAAUUGUCAAUAAAGCAAAAAAAUAUAAUUGGUGAUCGAGGUCCAAUUUAAUAGAAAAUAGUCUUAACUUGUAUAUUAGAGGUCUCAUAUUCGAAUCCUCACUGCAUUAUUAUUGUAUGCGUACAUGAGAAAUCCUCUUUCCUAAUAAUUUAGACUAUCACUUAUACUAAAAUAUAUAUAUAAUGACUUUUACGAAUGCAAACAUAAAAUUACACCAAACAAUAAUGGAAUAGAAAGAUGGAAGUUUUUUUUUUUUUUCCUACGUCUAAAGUAUACUUUAUACAGUCCCGAUCUCUUGGACCACAGGAGUCCAAGAGAUUGUGGUCACCCACCGUUGGAUAUUAAUCCAAUGGUUCAAAAUGAUAUAUAUAAAUGCAAUAUGACAUAAAUGAUUAUUACCCGAUCCAAGUCAACCGUUGAAUUUACAUUCAACGGUGGGUGACCAUAAAUCUCUUGGACUACAGGGGUCCAAGAGAUCAGGACUGAUACUUUAUAUAUAUAUAUAUAUAUAUUUAUUUAUUAUGGGAGUUAUAACUGUUUAGUUUUCAGUUUUUAUUUUCUAUUUAUUGUUUUAAUUUUUAUGGUUUAAUGUGUAUGGAGAUUACAAAUAUUGGAUGUCUAUAAAGGGCCACUCCUCCUUCACAUCUGAAACAAACUACCAUCUCAUUUCUGUAUUUUCAUACUUUCAUAUAUUUUCUACUGUCCAGAUUAUUAUUUUUGGGCAACGGUUCUGUGACUUGGAGAUUUCUAUCCGAUUGUUAACAUGCUCAUAGCGGACCUUGAGCUUGCGUAUUAGGGAUCGUAUCUUGGAGCCUUGUAGACCUUUAUUACCUGCAUGUAGGGAGGGUACAAAUGCUUUAGGUCAGCGUCUUCGACGUACUUUUGCUUUCUUAUUUCUUCGUUUCUUUAUUUUUGCUUUACUUUUAAAUCUUUAUUUUAUGUAUUAUUUAUAUUUAAAAGUUUGAAUAAGAGUUUUACAGAAAAGGAAAAAUACAAUUUCAAAUAACACAAAUUUCUCGUUUUUUGUUCUUAAAAAAGAAGAAGCAUUGAUUGGGGAGUUAUGGUAAACUCAAUUUCAAUGGUUGCGAUGAGAGGCGGUGGCGGCGAGGAGAGGACGAAGGCUUUGCUGCCGACGGGGUGGUGUGGGUGGGUGGAGACCUCGGCUGGCUGCUUGGUCCUGGGUUCUCCUUUAAUUCUCUGUUUUCUUUUUUCUUUUUCUUUUUCUCUUAGAGUUAUUGAUGUUAAGUGAAUGGACAGAUGCCAAAAUAGGGACAGAAGUAGGGGUGGGCAUCAAUCCGGCCGAUCCGGUCAAUCCGGCCGAACCGAUUAUAUUGGAUUGGUUUGGUUUGGUUUUGACCAAAGAAAAAGUCAACAUUUUGAAAAACCGAACCGAACCGGUUUGGUUUGGUUCAGCUGUGGUUUGAGAGUUUUAAAAACUGUCCUAAACCGAACCGGACCGAUUAUAAAUCAAUUUAUUAUUUAUUUAAUUUAGUUUACAUGUGGCAAGGUUUGUGUGCGUUUUGUGAGUCCGCGUAUCUGAAUGUUGGUGCACGUUUUGAUCUUCUAAUUUGCAUAUCCCAGUUAUUUGUGUGUGCUUGUAUUUCCCUCUCUUUCUAUCUCUACUAUGUGUGUUUGCUCUUUGUGUUGUGUGGCUCUUCUUACUCUAUCUAUCUUAAUUAAUGGGUCCAUUUCAUAAUUUCAUACGCAUUCAAACUCCACCUCUGUGAUAAAAACAUUUACCUCUUUGUGAUAAAAGCUUUUCAUUUGUUUGUAUUUCUCUUUGGCUUUUUGACUCACUCACUGUCUUUCUUUCUUUUAAUGCUACUUGUGAUGAAUGCAAUGAGUAAAUUUAAUGCUACUUGGUUAAUGCAAAUUUUGUAUAUGUUUGUUUUGAUGGAAAUUGUGAACUUAGAUGCAUGCUAGACAUUGGACAACCUUUGAAUAAAUGGAAUGAUGUUGUAUUAGCCUUUGAUGGAAUGAAAUGAAAUGAUAUAAUGGCAAAAUGUUAGCAUUAUAAUGUAAGAGCAGGUUGAAAAAUGCAUGGUUUUGUGUUAGGCACAAACCGGCCGAACCAAUCCGAACCAAACCGAUUACAAGUGGUUUGGAUUGGUUCGGUUUCCAUUAUGAUUUUAGGCUAAUCCGAACCAAACCGGACCGUUAUUUUCUUAUUGGUUCAGCUGUGGUUUGAGAGUAAAACCGAACCAAUCCGGACCGUGCCCACCCCUAGACAGAAGAUGUGAACCCAAUUAUAUACAGCUGAUUACAUAAAGUAACAAAUUAAUUAAUACUUGAGUGGAGGACAGGCUUGAGUGGAAGAAUUGAUUAAGGCUUGAGUGGAAGACCAACUUCAGUGGAGGAAAGUAUAGAUAAGGAAAGCAUGCCUCGUUUAACGGCUUUAUCUAAUAAAGAUUAGUUGUUGGCACUUGGAGUUUCUUAGGAAUGCUGGUUUUGUUUCCUUGGUGGACUUGAAAGGUGGUGCGUUGGCUCGGACAUCUCCCUAGUAAUUAAUCGAAGGUGGAAUCUUACAAGACAUACAGCUGCUCAUUAGCUGAAUAUCUCGCUCUCUUUAAAGAGAUCGAAGCAAACUGCAAUUUGCAAUUUGUGUGAUUCAAGCAUGAAUAUCUGAUAUAGUAACUAUACCAUUUGUUGGUUUGAUAAGAAAAGUUUGGUUAGCGAGGAUGAAACCAUAAAGUUCUCCAAAACACACAAAAAACACGAACAAUUGCUAAGUUUAUUCUUGAGUUCACACAUAUUUGUACAAAUGAGAUUACUCCAAGCAUGACUAUACCAUUUGUUGGUUUGAUAUGAAAAGUACGGGCAACGAGGAUAAAACCAUACAAACACACACAAAGAACGUGGACAAUAUACUAAGUUUAUCUUUGCGUUAUUGAUCCGACCUAACUGUAAAAUAAAAAAGAUAAAAAUAUAUAAUGUUCACUACUUAGAUCUAUGAGCACUAAAGUCCUCCUUUUGAAAUUGCACAAAACAUCACUUUUGGUCUUUGGUAAAUUUUUAAAAUAAAUGAAUUUUUUACUUAUUUGUGAACUGAAAUGCCUCUAAAAAAAUAAUGAUAGUUUGAAGAAUUUGAUAGAAAUAAAAAAAUAUCCUCAAAUUACUUGGAAUUGAAGACCACAUAGGCAAAAACACCAAAUUGCAACCUCACUUUAAUGAUAAAAAUGGUAAACUACAAAGACAAAAAUGACGUUUUGCCUUAUACAUAAUUGGAAUUUGCUGGUGAUAAUAGUCUACCAUCUUUUGUCGAUUUGCUGGUGAUAAUAGUCUAUCAUCUUUUGUCGGUCCGACCUAAAAAGAAGAAAAAGUUGAUGGCAUCUUGUACCAUUUUUGCCAAUGUGGGCCCAAACAAUUUGAAGAAGUCCACCGGCAAUUUCUCAAAAGCUAUUGUGUGAGUGUGAAGCUAAACCAAUAUUAUUUUGCAUAUACGACUCCACAUCCCCAUGUGAUGUGAGGCUACAAAAGUGUUUCCAAAACGAAAUAUGAUAUUUCAAAACGAAGCUAUGUAUAGAGUCAUUUGUAUUUGCUUUCACAAUAACAUUUGAUUUGUGAAAGCAUUUUAUAUUUAUACAUUCUGAUAUUCUAACAAAUAAAUUGACUAAAUUUGGCCAACAGGAUUUAGCCGAAUAGAAAAGUCCUUAUUUAUAGACUAGUGGUUUCAAAUUUAAAGUUUAGACUAUCGCAUGUAUUUAAAAAAAAAAAAACAAUUGGCUUAAUUUGAUAUAUUUCCUUUUUUUCCUUUUUCAUUUUAUACUGGGUGCCGUUAUUAAGUUUUAUCCUUAUUUUUUGUUGAAAAGAAAAUUGAAAAAAAAUAAUAAUUCCUACAGCUAGCAACUUCUCCACCUUCCCUUCUUCGCAACUAGGGAUGCCAUUGCAAGGUCACCAUCUCAGAUUAAGUCCUCCUUUUAAAAUUGUGUCGUUAUUCAGAAUUGGAAUAUAAUCCUGUACCACUUUGGCCACUUUUGAAGAUGUUCACCGACAAUUUCUCAAAAGCUAUUAAGCUGUACAUCCACAAUAUUAUUGCAUCCAUCCCCAUGUGAGGCUACAGAAAAAUUUUGAAAACGAAACUGGAUAUUUUAUCUCUAACAACAGCUUUCAUACUUCGUUUACCCUGUGUUUCCAAGUUGUGCUAGCUAUUUGCAAACCUUGGAAUAUUACUUCAUCCAAAUCCCUUGCAGAGAAGAGCAAGAUAUGGCUUUGAUCGGAGAAGCCCUCAUCUCCGCUACCAUCCAGACGUUUUGUGACAAAAUUGCUUCGCCUGAGUUCACCGACUUAUUUCGGCAGAAAAAGCUCGAUGAACAACUCCUCAACAAGCUGAAGACGACGCUGUUGACCUUGUCCGUAGUGCUUAAUGAUGCAGAGGAGAAGCAAAUUAAGGAACCUUUAGUGAGAGACUGGCUUGACAAUCUCAGACAUAAUGUCUUGGCUGCGGAGGACUUACUGGAUGAGAUCGACACUGAAGCUUUGCGAUGCAAGCUGGAAGAAGGUGAAGGUCAAACCCACAAUUUAACCAAGAAGGUACGUGAUUUUUAUCAACGCAUGAAUGUUGAGAUGAAAGAUUUAUUAGAAAGAUUAGAACAAUUUGUACAAGAGAAAAGUGCUCUUGGUUUGAGAGAAGGUGCUGGGAGGAAGGUUUCACAAAGAAGAACAACUUCCUUGGUUCAUGAACCUUGUGUCUAUGGUAGAGAUGAAGUCAAAGAAAAUCUGUUACAAAGAAGAGGAUUUGCCGUCAUCUCUUUCUCAUCUGAGUAUCUCGCGGUGUCCUGCCCUGGAGAAAAGGUAUAAGAAUAAGACGGGACAAGAUUGGGCAAAGAUAUCUCACAUUCCUUGCAUCAAGAUAGGAUACGAACUGAUCAUAUAAUAUGAGCUAUUCCAUAUUUCACUCUCAACCCUCAACUCUCAAAUCAAAGUCAGGUGAGGUAUGUGCCUUCUCUUACUUUAAAAAACUGCUUCUCUUCUUCUAAUUGAAUACAAAAACCAAAACACAUAUUCUCUUUCUCUUCCAAAAACCCAAAUACAUGUUGAACAUUGCCAAAUUUGAUCUCCAAAUUCCUAAUUAUUUCACGCUUUUUGUUAUUUUGUUGCUUAGUAAAUUAUGGUUGCUGGUCACAAAUUAUAGUCUGUUAAUAGGUUCAUGCCAUGAAUUAAUCUUUGGACUUUCCCAGGUACUGCAGGUUUGUUAUUAAUGUUGUGGCCUGAUAUUCGUCGUAUCAAUAGGUUGUCUUACGUUGAGGAGAGAGAUCGAUCAGCAAUUACAAAAUUGUUAGUGAAUUUAGCUUGUUUAUCAUCUCUCUCCUUUUGUUUGUUAAGUUUGGUUGUUCUAGGUUAAACCCUUGUCCCCGCAUUUCACAGCAACUCUAUGUUAUUCCACUCUGUUUAGUUUCAUUUAUGUUGUGAUUCGACUGCUGCUGUAUUUUAGAUUUCGUUCAUGUAAUGCUAGGAUGUUUAAUCUCUUAUCUGUGGUGGUAGUUGAGUAGUCUAGCUAAUCCAAUGAUAACUUGUCCCCUGUUUUGUAUUGUUUUUAUUUCUCUGGUAAUGAAAGCACGUUUCUUAUAAAUAAAUAAAAAAUAUUUCAUUGAUAUUCAUUGCUUAUUUUGAACUGCAGAAGCCUACUUUUGUCAGAGUCAGUAGAUGCCAGAAUGAAGUCAUUGCCUAAACACAUUGGCACCCUCACAGCCUUCGACAUUUUGGGAUAUAUGAUCUUCAAAAUCUUGUGUCAUUUGCCUCCCAACCUGCAAUAUUUUCAUAUUUUAAAUUGUGACAGACUGAGCCCUUUGGUGGGAGAUUACUGGGGUUUGCAAGGACUUGGUGGCAAUAUCUUGUAGACGUUUCUCAAGGAACAGCUGCUCAAUACCACUCUUCACACUCUAUAUAUUAUGGCCUGUCAGUCUAUAAUUCCUGCCAGGAGAGGAACUUGAACGCCUCUCUUCGCUGCAAAGGCUACAUAUUUGUGGGUGUGACAAUAUCCAAUUCCUGCCAGAAGAGUGUUUGCUGCCAUCUCUUUCUUAUCUGUGCAUCAACCAUUGUUUUGCCAUGUAGAAAAGGUAUCUCACAUUCCUUGCGUCAAGAUAGGCGAAGAAGUGAUCAUAAGAUAUGAGCUCUCUCUCCCUCUCGCUCACAUACAAUGUACUUAACACAAACACUCAAUCUGAUUUCUAUUAUUAUUUUGCUCAGUAAAUUUUGUUUAAAUUUGCUUUAUUUCUCAUUGCACUUGUUCUGCUGAUCACAACUUAUAUCCUAUUUAAAUCUCAAAUGCUGAAUAAUGAGCAGUCUUUUCGCAGGACAACAUAUCUUCUCUUGGAGAGCUAUUCAUUUGCAAGGUUUCUUUAUGGGUCAUUUCCAGAGGAGGGUUUACUAUUUAAUAGAAAGGUUCACCUGGAAUAUCUCAACUGACACAUUCCCAAAUACAGGCAUUGAAUGCACAACAUUUUGAGGUACUAUUUUUGUAAUAAAAAUGUACUUGAGUCUCAUUUGAGCUAGUUUAAAUUGUAUUCAAUGUCUAUGGAUAACCUGUGAGCUUAAGUUGUAAGAUAAAACUCACAGUAUAUUAUUAGGGUUUAGGGUUCAACUGUUCAACAGGUGAGCUUAAGUUGUACUUUCCUAGGUACUGCAUGUAUAUAAUCUUAGUAUCAACACUUGGUCUUAUGUGGACAAGAGAGAACAUUUGAGGAAUUACAAAAUCUUCUUAGUGAAUUAAUGUUGUUUCAGCUCUGUUUGUCAUCCCUCACAUUUUCUUUGUUAAGCCUUGAUUUUUUAUUAGACAUAAGAAAAAAUGCUUUUAUAAGACAGGAGAUGAAUGCUUUUAUAUGUUGAUGUCGUAGUCAGUCUUCAACCACACUCUGUUUUUAGAAUUCAUUUAUGUUACUAGUUGAGUGCUGCUGUAUUUUAUAUUUCGUUCCUGUAAUGUUUGGAUGUUUAGCUUGAGCAGUCUAGCUUAUCCAGUAGAUAACUUGUUCCCUGUUUUGUAAUGUUUUUGUUUCCUCUAAUGAAAGCAGGUUUUACUUAUCUUGAACUGCAGAAGCCUACUUUUUGACAUAGGUGGCAUGGCACAAACUCGCAUCCGCAUUUCCUUCCCCAUUGGCAUGCUGUCUCAUCUUUUGUAUUCUGUUACCAGCUUGAAGCUUGUGUAGACAUGUUAUGCUCUUGUAAUUCUGAUCACAAACAUCACUUGACAAAUGGAAAGUCACAAUCAGAUCUUUCAGGUGAUCGGGAGGUUUACUUUCUAACAUUUGUUUUCAUUGGGGGGAGGACAACAAUACAGAAUUUAAAAUUUCUGAUAAUCAAUAGUAGUUUGCAUAUAUCAGCUGGGACCUGUAUGACUGUAUUAUGUAAUUAAUUAUUUCUCUUAUUGUUUUGGUACUGUUAAAAGGAGUUAGCCACAAAAUAAAAAAGGAGGCCUCUUAUUUCAUACAAUUUUUCAAAAGUGAUCAUUCAUCCGUUUCUUUUUCAACAAUAGAGGAAUGUAUACUAAUCGUCUGGUCCAUCUGCUGCUUCACUCCCUAGUAGCUUCAUCUCCUGUCCUUUGCUUUAUUUCUGUUGAUGAAUGUUUUGUCUGGGUUAUUUAUUUUCAUUUCAUGUCCAUUGCUUCAUUUCUGUUUGGAUUCUGUCCUGGACUUGAACAAGGGUUAGGUUAGCUGUAUAAUUUGCGGUUUUAUAUACACAACUGUCUACAUUGAUUAAAACCAGCAUUAUUCUAAGGUUCAUUUAGAAUGUAUUAUCACCAAAAUUAUAAAGUAUACUUCUAUUACAAUUAAUUUGUUGAUUCUAAUUUGGACUUGUAGGAACAGACCAAACAUGUUCAUACGUGGCAUUGCUCAAGUCAUCAUCAUUCGGGACAGAGAAUAAGCCUUCAAAUGUCUGCUGAGUCAAUGAACCUUUCUAGAUAUCUCAAGUGUAGUGGAAAUUGAUGAGUUACAAAGGAUUUUUAAACAUUUUCUACUGGAGGCUAGAAAUGCUUCAAAUAAAUGACUGUGUUGCAAUUAUUUUGUAGGAUCAAAGACUCUGCAAAGAGGUAAGAAAGUCAUCAUCAAGUAACUUUGCUCUUCAAACUUUUUAAUUUUAUUUUUAAAUAUCAGUAAUAACUGGGAAAGUUUGCAUUUCCUUAAAUUGCUCAUUCUUACAUCUUUUAUAGUUUGUUGAUCUUGGGCAAGUGGAGAGAGAGGCGUCAAGUGAUACACAACAACCAUUUUCUGUGAGCUGAUUUGAUAAAGAGAAAUGGUAUGCUUUCUUGUCUUAAGCGGUGUGUUCUGCAAUUAUUUGAAACAAAGGAUGCCGCACUUCAAGUUCGAGAAAAUCAGGUAUUUUAGUAUUUUAUUCUGGAGAAAUUUGAUUUAUGUAGAAACUUGAACAUGUAAAUGAGAGAAAAAAAAAUUUAUAUAUAUAUAUAUUAUAUUGUAUAUGCUCUUAAUGAGUUAAUAUGGUGCUUGCUCCUGGUUGGAAAUUUAUGUAGUCAUCUACCUAUGAUCAAAUAAAGAUGAAAAAUAAAAUAAAAUUGAGAGCAUCUUCCUCUCCCCUGCUUUGCUCAUCCCUUGUUCUUCCACUUCAGCCCCACUAUUACACCAUUUUUUCAGCCACAAUUAUAAUAGCUCCAUGAGCAUUAAGUCCUUUUCAAAUUCUGCUGACAUUCAAAAUUGGAAUUGCUGGUGAUAUAUGAUAGCAUCCUUGUCCGACCAAAAAGAAAAAAAAAAAAAGUUGAUAGCAUAUUGUACCAUUUUGGCCAGUGUACGCAAUAUUAUUGCAUCCAACUUUGCAUAUUAACAUCAGUGGCCACAGUUCCAUGAUUUGAGUGCACAGAAAGGUUUCAAAAGUUGUCCCACAAAGAACAGUCGUUCAAAGUGAAAGAGAGUUUUCAAAGCUUAGUUACAAGUUCAUGUUAUUUACAAUAUCAAAAAGCUUUCAUACUUGCUUACAAACCUGUAUUUCCAAGUUCUGCAAACCUUGGAAUAUCACUUCAUCCAAAUCCCCUUCCAAAGCAGGAAAAAUGGCAGCAGCUUUGAUUGGAGAGGCUCUCAUCUCUGCUUCUAUCGAGUUGUUGUGUGACAGAGUUACUUCAGCCGAGUUCAUAGACUUAUUUCAGCAGAAGAAACUUGAUGAAACACUCCUCAUGAACCUGAAGACGACACUGUUGAUUUUGUUUGCGGUGCUCAAUGAUUCAGAGGAGAAGCAAAUUGUGAACCCUGCUGUGAGAGAGUGGCUUAACAGCUCAAGCAUGCUGUCUUUGAUGCAGAGGACUUACUUGAUGAGAUUGACACUGAAGCUUUGCGAUGCAAGCUGGAAGGUGAGGAUGAAACCCACAAUAAUUAACCAAAAAGGAUCUUUUUGAUUGUUUGAAAGGAGGGUCUUGAUGAUUUGAAAGGAGAGGGUUGCUUUAUUUCUGUUGGAUGCUUAAUUAAAUCUUAUUUGGAGUUGAACAAGGAUUAGGUUAGCUGUAUAAUUAGUGGUAAACGCCUUUUUCUAAGGGUCAUUUAGACUCAUAUUACGAUUAAUUUGUUGUUUCUAAUUUGGACUUGUAGGAACAGACCAAAUAUGUUCACACGUGGCAUCGCUCAAGUCAUCAUCAUUUCAGACUGAAAAUCAGCCUUCAAGUGUCUGUUGAGUCAAUAAAACUUUCUAGAUAUAUCAAGUGCAAUGGAAAUUCAUGAGUUACAUAGAGAUUUGUAAACAUUUUGAAGAUUGCAACACCUGCAAGUGAGAUAGGCGGUGACGAAAUCAGAGAUGAAGCCUCUGAUGCCCCUGUUGUUGCAAGUUGCACCUGAGAACAUGUUUUUUUUUCUUCUUUGGGGUAAAAAACUGGCAACAUGUUCGGAGCUGACAAUUCAAUCCCUGAUGAACUAGAGAAGCAAAGCUCCGGUAAGGAAAUUGGUCAAGGUUGUGACAGGGAUGAUUGAUGGUGAAAUGGAUGCUAUUUCUUAUUGCAGCCUGUUCUUAAAGUUCUUGUUGGCAAAUGCAAGAGAUGGAGUAUUUUGAUUGGGAGGAGAGAUAAUGACAUGGCUUGACAAUUCUAGAACAGCCCAUCAUUAAUCCCAGAAAAAAUCCAGUUUCUGCUAAACAAUCACUUAUGGCAAGGCCAACUCUGUAAAUGGAAUUUGUGAUCCCUUCAAAUUGUACACAUUUUUUCUUUUUGAGGAAUUUAAUCAAACAGUAUUCUAAUGCAUUAUGAUGGCACUACACGCUUUUGUUGUAACAAAUUACAAGGAGGAAUUUGGAUUGAGUUUCUUGUAUAAGCACACCUUACACAAAUUUCGUAUAUUUUCUUCCAGCAAGUCUGUCUAUUAAACCCCUUAUUUGAAAUUAAUUGUUAUAAG